UUAAGUCCCGUAACGAGCGCAACCCUUGUCCUUAGUUACCAGCACGUUAUGGUGGGCACUCUAAGGAGACUGCCGGUGACAAACCGGAGGAAGGUGGGGAUGACGUCAAGUCAUCAUGGCCCUUAGGCCUGGGCUACACACGUGCUACAAUGGUCGGUACAAAGGGUUGCCAAGCCGCGAGGUGGAGCUAAUCCCAUAAAACCGAUCGUAGUCCGGAUCGCAGUCUGCAACUCGACUGCGUGAAGUCGGAAUCGCUAGUAAUCGUGAAUCAGAAUGUCCACGGUCGAAUACGUUCCCGGGCCUU
rnacentral:rRNA from 1 species